rnacentral:rRNA from 2 species
UGGGGAAUAUUGCACAAUGGGGGAAACCCUGAUGCAGCGACGCCGCGUGAACGAAGAAGGUAUUCGUAUCGUAAAGUUCUGUCCUAUGGGAAGAUAAUGACAGUACCAUAGAAGAAAGCUCCGGCUAAAAACGUGCCAGCAGCCGCGGUAAUACGUAUGGAGCGAGCGUUGUCCGGAAUUAUUGGGCGUAAAGGGUACGCAGGCGGUUUAAUAAGUCGAAUGUUAAAGAUCGGGGCUCAACCCCGUAAAGCAUUGGAAACUGAUAAACUUGAGUAGUGGAGAGGAAAGUGGAAUUCCUAGUGUAGUGGUGAAAUACGUAGAUAUUAGGAGGAAUACCAGUAGCGAAGGCGACUUUCUGGACACAAACUGACGCUGAGGUACGAAAGCGUGGGGAGCAAACAGG